CCUACGGGUGGCAGCAGUGAGGAAUAUUGGUCCAUGGGCGCGAGCCUGAACCAGCCAAGCCGCGUGAAUGAUGACUGCCCUACGGGUUGUAAACUUCUUUUAUAAAGGAAUAAAGUGAGGCACGUCUGCCUUUUUGUAUUUACUUUAUGAAUAAGGAUCGGCUAACUCCGUUCCAUCAGCCGCGGUAAUCUGGAGGAUCCUAGCGUUAUCCGGAUUUCUUGGGUUUAAAGGGCGCGUAGAUGGGUAGUUAAGUCAGUUGUGAAAGUUUGCGGCUCAACAGUAGAAUUGCCUUUGAUACUGGAAGUCUGGAGUGCAGUAGAGGUAGGCGGAAUUCGUGGUGUAGCGGUGAAAUGCGUAGAUAUCAGGAAGAACUCCGAUUGCGAAGGCAGCUUACUAAACUGCAACUGACAUUGAUGCUCGAAAGUGUGGGUAGCAAACAGGAUUAGAUACCCUGGUAGUC
rnacentral:rRNA from 1 species